GCUGCUGCUACUGGUUCCUGAGACACUUUGAAGAGAGAGGCUCUCAAGCAACCCCAUCAUUUCAGGGAUGGGGAAACUGAAACCGCAGGUAAAGCGGCUUCACCAAGUUCAAGCAACUGAAAAGUGACAGAUCCAGGUCUGGAGCCCAGGUCUCCAGGCUGCCAGUAAAGGCCUCUUUCCUCUCCAUAAAUGGCUGACUGGCUUCUCCCAAGCCCUGCUGAGCCUCAGGCAGAACAAGCAAGCGAGCAGGUCAGCAGCUGUGGAAGUGAGGCACGCUCAUACUGCAGAGUCAUGCACCUUUCCCCCUCGGGCCUCACCCUGGCUGUGCCGCGUGCCCAGGAAGGAACAGGCCUCCACGCUGCUCUGCGUCACUUCAGAUACCACAGCACUGAGCCCAUGGGUGCCCCUCACACAGGGCAGGGAGGGAGGAGGAAAUAGGAGGGGCCACAAUGCCACCAGGCAGCUCCACAUUGAGCCGGACUACAUCUGAUCUGGACUUGUCCUCCCAGAAAGCUCUCCACCAAAGGGCUGGGCAUGGUGAGCCUCCUACUGUUCCCCAGGCCCACCUCAUGGCCCCUCCUCCUGUUCAUUCCCUCUAGAGGCAAUUGGGCCUUUUCAGUGACCUGAACUCUGUCCACCCUGCCACUUACAGGCUGAGUGACUAUAGGUAGCCCCCUCCUAUUAGGAGGUAAUAAUAAUGACAUCACAAUCACAAGUGAUCCAGCACCAGUCUUCAGGACUUCUGCAGCCUCCUGAAUUGGCAAAUACCUUAGAAGGUAUCAUGCCUCAUGUCUGUAAUCCCAGCACUUUGGGAGGCUGAGGCAGGUGGAUCACCUGAGGUCGGGAGUUCGAGACCAGCCUGACCAACGUGGAGAAGCCCCUUCUCUACUAAAAAUACAAAAUUAGCCCGGUAUAGUGGUGCAUUCCUGUAAUCCCAGCUACUCCGGAGGUUGAGGCAGGAGAAUCGCUUGAACCCGGGAGGCAGAGGUUGUGGUGAGCCAAGAUCGCAUCAUUGCACUCCUACAGCAAAACUCCGUCUCAAAAAAAAAAAAAAAUCAAAAUGUAGAGCUGUAAAUCUUAGGCCAUCACCUCCUGAUUCUAGGGCUAUAAACCUGUUGUUUUCAAAGCUAUUUAAGGGCCCUGCUCACACAGGAAUUCAUGGCAGAAUGGAGCUGGGAGGCAGAUGGAGCGAUGGAGAUCAUAUGCUCAGGAUCCCUCUCCCCCUCUCAUGACAAAGGCUUUGCCCCUGCUUCUGGCUGGAGGGACCUGCCCUCUCCUUGCUUGGGACAGUUGUUAACCAACACAUCUUAAUGACAGAGGAGAGAAGAAUCAAGACCUGGGGAUGGAGCUGGGAGAGGCCAGCCUCGAACAAAGAAUAUCUUGAAAGCCUCUUUUUAUCAUUAAAGUGUGUAUGAA
rnacentral:lncRNA from 1 species